rnacentral:rRNA from 1 species
GACGAACGCUGGCGGCGUGCUUAACACAUGCAAGUCGAACGAUGAACCACUUCGGUGGGGAUUAGUGGCGAACGGGUGAGUAACACGUGGGCAAUCUGCCCUUCACUCUGGGACAAGCCCUGGAAACGGGGUCUAAUACCGGAUAACACUGCCACGGGCAUCUGUGGUGGUUAAAAGCUCCGGCGGUGAAGGAUGAGCCCGCGGCCUAUCAGCUUGUUGGUGAGGUAAUGGCUCACCAAGGCGACGACGGGUAGCCGGCCUGAGAGGGCGACCGGCCACACUGGGACUGAGACACGGCCCAGACUCCUACGGGAGGCAGCAGGUGGGGAAUAUUGCACAAUGGGCGAAAGCCUGAUGCAGCGACGCCGCGUGAGGGAUGACGGCCUGG